rnacentral:rRNA from 1 species
GACGAACGCUGGCGGCGUGCUUAACACAUGCAAGUCGAACGGAAAGGCCCUGCUUUUGUGGGGUGCUCGAGUGGCGAACGGGUGAGUAACACGUGAGUAACCUGCCCUUGACUUUGGGAUAACUUCAGGAAACUGGGGCUAAUACCGGAUAGGAGCUCCUGCUGCAUGGUGGGGGUUGGAAAGUUUCGGCGGUUGGGGAUGGACUCGCGGCUUAUCAGCUUGUUGGUGGGGUAGUGGCUUACCAAGGCUUUGACGGGUAGCCGGCCUGAGAGGGUGACCGGCCACAUUGGGACUGAGAUACGGCCCAGACUCCUACGGGAGGCAGCAGUGGGGAAUAUUGCACAAUGGGCGGAAGCCUGAUGCAGCAACGCCGCGUGCGGGAUGACGGCCUUCGGGUUGUAAACCGCUUUCGCCUGUGACGAAGCGUAAGUGACGGUAAUGGGUAAAGAAGCACCGGCUAACUACGCG